UACGGAGGGUGCGAGCGUUGUCCGGAAUCAUUGGGCGUAAAGGGCGCGUAGGUGGCCCGGUCAGUUCGUGGUGAAAGCGCGGGGCUCAACUCCGCGUCGGCCAUGAAUACUGCUGGGCUGGAGCACUGUAGAGGCAGGCGGAAUUCCGGGUGUAGCGGUGGAAUGCGUAGAGAUCCGGAGGAACACCAGCGGCGAAGGCGGCAUCCUGGACUGGUCCUGACACUCAUGAGCGAAAGCGUGGGGAGCGAUCCGG
rnacentral:rRNA from 1 species